rnacentral:tRNA from 1 species
GGUGGGGUGGCCGAGCGGUUUAAGGCACCUGUCUUGAAAACAGGCGAAGUUUCAACGACUUCCGUGAGUUCGAAUCUCACCCCCACCGCCA